UGAACGCUGGCGGCAUGGCUAAAACAUGCAAGUCGAGGGAAAAGCAUCUUCGGAUGUGGACACCGGCGAAAGGGCGAGUAACGCGAUCGUACGUACCCUUCAGUAGAGGAUAGCGUCGGGAAACCGGCGGUAAUACUCUAUACGCUCUACGGAGGAAAGGAUUCCGCUGAAGGAGCGGCGAUCGUCCUAUCAGGUAGUUGGUGGGGUAAAGGCCUACCAAGCCGAAGACGGGUAGCGGGUGUGAGAGCAUGACCCGCCGCAUCGGGACUGAGAUACUGCCCGGACUCCUACGGGAGGCUGCAGUAACGAAUCUUCCGCAAUGCGCGAAAGCGUGACGGAGCAAUGCCGCGUGUGGGAUGAAGCGGUUACGCCGUGUAAACCACUGUCAGGGUCGAGGAAGAACUGACCAGACCCAGAGGAAGGGCCGGCUAAUCUCGUGCCAGCAGCCGCGGUAAUACGAGAGGCCCAAGCGUUAGGCGGAAUCACUGGGCUUAAAGGGUGCGUAGGCGGACGUGUAAGCAUCGUGUGAAAUCCCUCAGCUCAACUGGGGAACUGCACAGUGAACUGCACGUCUUGAGGCAGGUAGGGGCGAUCGGAACGUUCGGUGGAGCGGUGAAAUGCGUAGAUAUCGAACGGAACGCCAAGAGUGAAGACAGAUCGCUGGGCCUGACCUGACGCUGAGGCACGAAAGCGUGGGGAGCAAACAGGAUUAGAUACCCUGGUAGUCCACGCCGUAAACGAUGUGCACUAGUUCGGAUGCAGGUCUGACCCUGUGUCGGACGCCGAGAAAUCAUUAAGUGCACCGCCUUGGG
rnacentral:rRNA from 1 species